rnacentral:rRNA from 1 species
UUAGAAAGCUCGUAGUUGGAUUUCUGUGUUGGUGAGGCGGCCGGCCACUCGUGGUUGUAGCUAGUUAUCACCGACGCAUCUUGUCACAAUCCUGUCUGGCCUUCACUGGUUGGAUAUGGGGACUGACUCGUUUACUUUGAGAAAAUUAGAGUGUUCAAAGCAGGCUAUCGCCUUGAAUAUAUAGCAUGGAAUAAUGAUAUAGGACUUUGGUUCUAUUUUGUUGGUUGUUCGAGAACCGAAGUAAUGAUUGAUAGGGACAGUUGGGGGCAUCAGUAUUCUGAAGCAAGAGGUGAAGUUCUUGGACCUUCGGAAGACUAACAGCUGCGAAAGCGUUUGCCUAGGAUGUUCUCUUUAAUCAAGAACGAAAGUUGGGGGAUCGAAGACGAUCAGAUACCGUCGUAGUCUCACCUAUAAACUAUGCCAGCUAGGGAUUGGU